rnacentral:rRNA from 1 species
GCGUUGAUCCAGAGAUUUCCGAAUGGGGGAACCCACUAUCUUUAGUCGGAUAGUAUCCUUACGUGAAUACAUAGCGUGAGGAAGGCAGACCCAGGGAACUGAAACAUCUAAGUACCUGGAGGAAGAGAAAGAAAAAUCGAUUUCCUGAGUAGCGGCGAGCGAAACGGAAAGAGCCCAAACCAAGAAGCUUGCUUCUUGGGGUUGUAGGACACUCUAUACGGAGUUAC